rnacentral:lncRNA from 1 species
UAUUCACAGGGGUGGUGGCCAAGUUAUUCCCACUGCUAGGAGGGUUAUCUAUGCUUCUCAGCUUACCGCCAAGCCUCGCCUGUUGGAGCCGGUUUACCUUGUGGAGAUUCAAGCUCCAGAGCAAGCCCUUGGUGGCAUUUAUGGUGUUCUGAACCAGAAGCGUGGACAUGUGUUCGAGGAGAUGCAGAGGCCAGGGACCCCUCUUUACAACAUCAAGGCAUACCUUCCUGUCAUCGAGUCUUUUGGAUUCUCAGGUACCUUGAGGGCAGCUACUUCUGGUCAAGCUUUCCCACAAUGUGUGUUCGAUCAUUGGGACAUGAUGUCAUCCGAUCCAUUGGACGCUGGUACACAAGCUCAUCAACUCGUCCUUGAUAUCCGUAAGAGGAAGGGUUUGAAGCAGGCGGUGACUCCUCUGUCUGAGUUUGAGGACAAGCU